rnacentral:lncRNA from 1 species
GGGUUCAGAUAGAAGCUGAUGGGAUUAUUCUCUUUUGGCUCUUUUAUGGUGGUCUUGGCGAGUCAUCGAUGCUGGAUCAAUUAUAAGGUCAAUAAUAGAGAAUUGAUGGCUUUGACAUUUGGUCAAGAAGACGUCUGGGUACGAAGCCCAUUGAAGUUGUCUGCUCUAUUAUUAGGAUGUCCAGAUGAUAUUCAUCAUUUAGAGUCCAUCUCGAUACUAUAGUUGAUCCGAAGAAUAUAUCCAAGGAUGAGACCCGAGGACAAUGCCCGAGGUGGUUC